rnacentral:lncRNA from 1 species
UGUGCUAUAAAAAGCAAAUGUGGGAGGAAGAGAGCACGUGCAUAUACUCCAAACUUUAAACCAAUCUAUGCCUAUUUUUUUCACAUUUCGAGCAAUUUCUCCUUUUUUUUUUUAAUUUCUUUUUGUUUUUUUUUAAAUGUAGAGCAUGAAGUUUUUAUAUUAAAAUUCGGAUUACAUUUUGUCUUAUAAAACAAAUUAAUUAUUCUGUUAAAAGUUUUAUUUAUUU